GUCUACGGCCAAGCCACCCUGAACACGUUCGAUCUCGUCUGAUCUCAGAAGCUAAGCAAGGUCAAGCCUGGUGAGUACUUGGAUGGGAAACCACCUAGGAAUACUGGGUGCUGUAGGUG
rnacentral:rRNA from 1 species